rfam:Salmo salar isolate Sally breed double haploid chromosome ssa19, whole genome shotgun sequence.
AUCACUACAAUUUGUAAGUCGCUCUGGAUAAGAGCGAUCUGCUAAAUGACGUAAA